AGAACGAUGUAAGGGAAGAAACAAGGAAAAUCAUACAAUAGAAGGUGAUGGAAAGAAUGCCGAUGAUGCCUUGACGUGGAGUGGCGGACCUCAGCUAAAUAUAUCCUGUAUGAUGGUUGAGUCAGACAGUUUUAUUCCUAUCAACUCAAGGGUGAAGUAGAUCUUCAAAACUAAAGGAUGUCCAGUUGUAGAAGCUUGACUCUCAACCAAGGGAGGCUUCGAUGUUAGGUAUAGAGAAUGAAC
rnacentral:lncRNA from 1 species